CUGACCUCAAAUCAGGUGGGACUACCCGCUGAACUUAAGCAUAU
rnacentral:rRNA from 3 species